GAAUAAAUGUUCCCCAUGUUCCCAGUUCGAACACCAAAAAUACAUCCCAAGACAAUAAAUGUUUAUCAGAUGUAUACAGUGUAGUCAUUUCUUCCCUAUGUUCGCAGUUGGAACACCAAAAAUACAUGGCAAGCCAAUUGUUCAGUAUACAUACCACAUCAAUUCUAAUGUUGUUGAAAAAUGAUAGGUACGAAUGGGAAAUGCAAAUAGCAAGGCGCCGGAAGAGAAAAGAGUGCCAGAUGUGCUUGUACCCCCUCUUGCUGACCUACAUUCACAAGGGAGCCAAGGUACGUUAGAAUAACAUAAAUGAGUCAGAUGUCAAGGGUGCCCAACAAUCAUUGUAUCUCGCUAAUGUGUUCCAGGCCAUAAUGUUGACGGAAGUUUUGAUGAAUACAACCCAGCAAUAAUUCCCGUAGCUGACAAUGUUGACAAUUAUCAAUUGACUCCAGGUAUUGGAGUCUGUAAAUACCCCUAUCUGUUGUAUCAUAUGGUUUUAACAUGAUCAAUCGUGCCUAACAGACUUGGAAGCACACAAGGAAACAGAUGGAACUGGCAUGCCACGGAUAGAGCAGGACGAGCUUGCAAACCUAACCAAACACCCUCUUUCUGAUAUAACAAUUGCUGAUCAGCCUGGGCAUGUGAGUUUACGUACGUGGGUUCCAUAUUUAAACACACUAUCUACCCUAUUCGGUUAGCAAGAAACUGCCUCAUUCUGUACUGGUUUUGUUUUGUAGACAACCCAUCAAUCUCCAUUGUAGCCCUGAUGUUGCUUCGUUCCCUGAUCCGAGUACUCUCACAGAUAUUUUUGCCUGCGGCCUUGCAGGAAGUUUAUUUGGUAUGAUCUGACACGUGCAUCAUGGACAGUGAUAAACGUCUCUAUGAAUGUACAUGUUGACUAAUUCUCAUCAAGAUUUGUUGUUUAUACAUCGUGCAGACAAUAAUGUGCCUUCAUUCCCGGAUAGGAGUACUCUUGCAUCACUUUAUGCCUCAGGUCACUUUAUGCCUUUCAAAUGUCCAGAUUUGUGCUUAAAGGGAUGCAUGUUCAUGUAUUAGCCUAACCGACAUAUUUUCUUUUGUUCCUGCAGCCAGAGAGUCUACCCACAGUGAUGUGUGUCUUAAUGCCCUUGGUUGUGGUGGUUCAGAGCUUGUGACAUCGUCUACCCCAACAUGUGAUGUAUACCCAAGUCAUUCCAAGACAACAUGUGCUGUUGUGAAUGACCAAGUGAGUUAAAGCGUAAAAGACGACAAAAGGGAGCGGAGAAACGCACGACGGCGAGCAACUUAUUGAAAGAAAAAGGAUGAACAGGUCAAGCUCCAAAAUGAAAAGCUGACUGUUUCUCGACCCCCUCUUGGUGAUAUCACUAAUAUUGAUCAGCCUUCCGGUUCAAUGCCAGGUACGGGUGUUUAAAGUUAUGAGCUUACGGCGGUGACAAACCAAAUUUGGGAAUCAAAUAUUAGAAUAUGCACUUUUAGCUUUGACUUACAAUAAUUGAUUCAAUAUGAAGUUAAAAACUGGAGUUUGAUAUAUGAACGGUCAAGAAAUGUCAUAUAUCGGAAUGCUUAAAAAAACAUCUGCGGUGUUAGAAAGACGUAAAUGGAUUUAAAAAAUUAAAUUAGAUUUACCGGCACUCAAGAAGGUGAAUAAUAUGAUAGAUGGUUCUCGAUUUGUCAGAAAAAGAAACAAAUGUGGAGUAUGAAACAUUAACUAUCACAACGUCAGUAGCAAACGUUGAUAUGAAAUAGAUGUAUAGUACCCAAGAUGGGUAUAUUAUCAAUUGGGCCAAGUUCUCCAUUGGCACUGCAUGUAUUUUUUUCUCUCGUUGCAAUGGCAAAAUAGAAGAAUUUUGCAAAAUAGAAGAAUUUAUGUAAGCGGACUUGCCAAUGUUCACCAGAUCAACGCACCUCCCACCACCCCGUACCACUAGUUUUAAACUACAUAUCGACAAAAAACCAGAUCGACGCACCAACGAGGACCCGAUCCACUCCUCGUUUCCCACGUUCGUCCUGGAUCACGAGAACGCCGCCGCCGCUGCCGCCUCACAUACGUCGCCCAUGGCGGAUCACGAACAAUACCGUCGCGGAUCAGCAGGCCGCCGCCUUAGGUACCCACACACCACGAUCCAGUCGCGGAUCAGCAGGCCGCCGCCACCGCCAAGUCAGGUACCCACACACCACGAUCCUGUCGCGGGUCAGCAAGACACCGCCGCCACCGCCUCGGGCAGCCACACGCCACAGAUCUCCGACGACGACGCCUACGGCGGCAAGCAGUGCAGGGCGUCUUCACUGAUCAGUUUUCAACCUUGCUUUCUUAAAGGUACAUACGCUCAUGAUCUCUUAAAGAUCACGCAACGCUACAAAAGACAAUUGUCACCAGAUGGAGCCAUAUGCAAUAGAGCCAUAUAUGAUGGAGCCACCAGAUGGAGCCAUACGAAUAAAUGUUCCCCAUGUUCCCAGUUCGAACACCAAAAAUACAUCCCAAGACAAUAGAUGUUUAUCAGAUGUAUACACUGUAGUCAUUUCUUCCCUAUGUUCGCAGUUGGAACACCAAAAAUAUAUGGCAAGCCAAUUGUUCAGUAUACAUACCACAUCAAUUCUAAUGUUGUUGAAAAAUGAUAGGUACGAAUGGGAAAUGCAAAUAGCAAGGCGUCGGAAGAGAAAAGAGUGUCAGAUGUGCCUGUACCCCCUCUUGCCGACCUACAUUCACAAGGGAGCCAAGGUACGUUAGAAUAACAUAAAUGAGUCAGAUGUCAAGGGUGCCCAACAAUCAUUGUAUCUCGCUAAUGUGUUCCAGGCCAUAAUGUUGAUGGAAGUGUUGAUUAAUACAACCCA
rnacentral:lncRNA from 1 species